rnacentral:rRNA from 1 species
UACGUAGGGUGCGAGCGUUAAUCGGAAUUACUGGGCGUAAAGCGUGCGCAGGCGGUUUUGUAAGCCAGAUGUGAAAUCCCCGGGCUUAACCUGGGAAUGGCAUUUGGGACUGCAAGGCUGGAGUUUGGCAGAGGAGACUGGAAUUCCUGGUGUAGCAGUGAAAUGCGUAGAUAUCAGGAGGAAUACCGAUGGCGAAGGCAGGUCUCUGGGCUGACACUGACGCUCAUGCACGAAAGCGUGGGGAGCAAACAGG